rnacentral:rRNA from 1 species
AUGAACGCUAGCUACAGGCUUAACACAUGCAAGUCGAGGGGCAGCAUGGUCUUAGCUUGCUAAGACUGAUGGCGACCGGCGCACGGGUGAGUAACACGUAUCCAACCUGCCGUCUACUCUUGGACAGCCUUCUGAAAGGAAGAUUAAUACAAGAUGGCAUCAUGAGUCCGCAUGUUCACAUGAUUAAAGGUAUUCCGGUAGACGAUGGGGAUGCGUUCCAUUAGAUAGUAGGCGGGGUAACGGCCCACCUAGUCUUCGAUGGAUAGGGGUUCUGAGAGGAAGGUCCCCCACAUUGGAACUGAGACACGGUCCAAACUCCUACGGGAGGCAGCAGUGAGGAAUAUUGGUCAAUGGGCGAGAGCCUGAACCAGCCAAGUAGCGUGAAGGAUGACUGCCCUAUGGGUUGUAAACUUCUUUUAUAAAGGAAUAAAGUCGGGUAUGGAUACCCGUUUGCAUGUACUUUAUGAAUAAGGAUCGGCUAACUCCGUGCCAGCAGCCGCGGUAAUACGGAGGAUCCGAGCGUUAUCCGGAUUUAUUGGGUUUAAAGGGAGCGUAGAUGGAUAUUUAAGUCAGUUGUGAAAGUUUGCGGCUCAACCGUAAAAUUGCAGUUGAUACUGGAUAUCUUGAGUGCAGUUGAGGCAGGCGGAAUUCGUGGUGUAGCGGUGAAAUGCUUAGAUAUCACGAAGAACUCCGAUUGCGAAGGCAGCCUGCUAAGCUGCAACUGACAUUGAGGCUCGAAAGUGUGGGUAUCAAACAGGAUUAGAUACCCUGGUAGUCCACACGGUAAACGAUGAAUACUCGCUGUUUGCGAUAUACUGCAAGCGGCCAAGCGAAAGCGUUAAGUAUUCCACCUGGGGAGUACGCCGGCAACGGUGAAACUCAAAGGAAUUGACGGGGGCCCGCACAAGCGGAGGAACAUGUGGUUUAAUUCGAUGAUACGCGAGGAACCUUACCCGGGCUUAAAUUGCAGAUGAAUUACGGUGAAAGCCGUAAGCCGCAAGGCAUCUGUGAAGGUGCUGCAUGGUUGUCGUCAGCUCGUGCCGUGAGGUGUCGGCUUAAGUGCCAUAACGAGCGCAACCCUUGUUGUCAGUUACUAACAGGUUCCGCUGAGGACUCUGACAAGACUGCCAUCGUAAGAUGUGAGGAAGGUGGGGAUGACGUCAAAUCAGCACGGCCCUUACGUCCGGGGCUACACACGUGUUACAAUGGGGGGUACAGAGGGCCGCUACCACGCGAGUGGAUGCCAAUCCCCAAAACCUCUCUCAGUUCGGACUGGAGUCUGCAACCCGACUCCACGAAGCUGGAUUCGCUAGUAAUCGCGCAUCAGCCACGGCGCGGUGAAUACGUUCCCGGGCCUUGUACACACCGCCCGUCAAGCCAUGGGAGCCGGGGGUACCUGAAGUGCGUAACCGCGAGGAGCGCCCUAGGGUAAAACUGGUGACUGGGGCU